rnacentral:lncRNA from 1 species
UCUUCCCUUUUACAUUUCUUCAAUUUCUCAAAGAACAAAAAGAAAAGAUAUAAGAAGAAUCUUGGUUGGAGAUAAAUUUUAUACUGAUAAAAAAAAAAUAAGAAUCGAAAGAAUAAGAGGAAGAAGAAGAAGAAGAAAAAAGAAUUAAAUACUUAUUAGAGAUAUAUUUUACAUUAUAGAAGAUACAAAAUAUGAAUUAGUUUGUCACUGUGGUGUGGUUGAGGGUCACAAUAUUCCUUGAAUCAAUCAGGGCUCGAAACCCCUCUUCAACAGUAUUGAAAAAAAUAUAUAUUUUAAAAUAAUUAUUAUAUUAAAUUGUAAUAAACAGC